rnacentral:lncRNA from 12 species
CCUGGGGCCUUGCUUCCUGUGAUUUUUAGAAUCCUGCAAUGGCUGGGGCUGGAAGGGAACUUAAAGAUCAUCUUGUCCCAACCCCCUUGCCCUGGGCAGGGACACCUUGCUCUAGAAGGAUGUUUGGGAUGUUACAAAUCUAAAUGUCACACCAAUAAUUGUCUCUGUGCUCUUUAUUUCUAUACCACAGCUUAGCUGGUGCUCCGGGAAAUAGAGAGUUGGGCAGAGUUCCCAUCCUGUGGAGCUUGCAGUCGAAAAAAUCCUCUACACACCAAGAAGGCUGGCAGAGUAGCAGUUGAUCCACAGUGGGAGCCCAGAGGGGGAAGGAAACAACUAGAAAGCCAUUCCAGAAGUGUCUGUGUGGUAUUUAGAGAGCUGGGAACCAGCUGCAGCAUGCAGAGAUUUCCAGAGGUUUCUGUUGAGUGAGGAAAGG